rnacentral:rRNA from 1 species
GCAAGUCGAGCGGAAAGGCCCUUCGGGGUACUCGAGCGGCGAACGGGUGAGUAACACGUGAGUAACCUGCCCCUGACUCUGGGAUAAGCCUGGGAAACCGGGUCUAAUACCGGAUAUGACACUCCUCCGCAUGGUGUGGGUGUGGAAAGUUUUUUCGGUUGGGGAUGGACUCGCGGCCUAUCAGCUUGUUGGUGGGGUGAUGGCCUACCAAGGCGACGACGGGUAGCCGGCCUGAGAGGGCGACCGGCCACACUGGGACUGAGACACGGCCCAGACUCCUACGGGAGGCAGCAGUGGGGAAUAUUGCGCAAUGGGCGAAAGCCUGACGCAGCGACGCCGCGUGGGGGAUGACGGCCUUCGGGUUGUAAACCUCUUUCAGCAGGGACGAAGUUGACGUGUACCUGUAGAAGAAGCGCCGGCUAACUACGUGCCAGCAGCCGCGGUAAUACGUAGGGCGCGAGCGUUGUCCGGAAUUAUUGGGCGUAAAGAGCUCGUAGGUGGCUUGUUGCGUCUGCCGUGAAAGCCCGUGGCUUAACUACGGGUCUGCGGUGGAUACGGGCAGGCUAGAGGCUGGUAGGGGCAAGCGGAAUUCCUGGUGUAGCGGUGAAAUGCGCAGAUAUCAGGAGGAACACCGGUGGCGAAGGCGGCUUGCUGGGCCAGUUCUGACGCUGAGGAGCGAAAGCGUGGGGAGCGAACAGGAUUAGAUACCCUGGUAGUCCACGCUGUAAACGUUGGGCGCUAGGUGUGGGGGUCUUCCACGAUCUCUGUGCC